rnacentral:rRNA from 1 species
UUCGCCCUUAGAGUUUGAUCCUGGCUCAGGACGAACGCUGGCGGCGCGCCUAACACAUGCAAGUCGAACGAGAGAUGAGGAGCUUGCUCUUCAAAUCGAGUGGCGAACGGGUGAGUAACGCGUGAGGAACCUGCCUCAAAGAGGGGGACAACAGUUGGAAACGACUGCUAAUACCGCAUAAGCCCACAGCUCGGCAUCGAGCAGAGGGAAAAGGAGCAAUCCGCUUUGAGAUGGCCUCGCGUCCGAUUAGCUAGUUGGUGAGGUAACGGCCCACCAAGGCGACGAUCGGUAGCCGGACUGAGAGGUUGAACGGCCACAUUGGGACUGAGACACGGCCCAGACUCCUACGGGAGGCAGCAGUGGGGAAUAUUGCACAAUGGGGGAAACCCUGAUGCAGCGACGCCGCGUGGAGGAAGAAGGUCUUCGGAUUGUAAACUCCUGUUGUUGAGGAAGAUAAUGACGGUACUCAACAAGGAAGUGACGGCUAACUACGUGCCAGCAGCCGCGGUAAAACGUAGGUCACAAGCGUUGUCCGGAAUUACUGGGUGUAAAGGGAGCGCAGGCGGGAGAACAAGUUGGAAGUGAAAUCCAUGGGCUCAACCCAUGAACUGCUUUCAAAACUGUUUUUCUUGAGUAGUGCAGAGGUAGGCGGAAUUCCCGGUGUAGCGGUGGAAUGCGUAGAUAUCGGGAGGAACACCAGUGGCGAAGGCGGCCUACUGGGCACCAACUGACGCUGAGGCUCGAAAGUGUGGGUAGCAAACAGGAUUAGAUACCCUGGUAGUCCACACCGUAAACGAUGAUUACUAGGUGUUGGAGGAUUGACCCCUUCGGUGCCGCAGUUAACACAAUAAGUAAUCCACCUGGGGAGUACGACCGCAAGGUUGAAACUCAAAGGAAUUGACGGGGGCCCGCACAAGCAGUGGAGUAUGUGGUUUAAUUCGACGCAACGCGAAGAACCUUACCAAGUCUUGACAUCCCUUGACGAACAUAGAAAUAUGUUUUCUCUUCGGAGCAAGGAGACAGGUGGUGCAUGGUUGUCGUCAGCUCGUGUCGUGAGAUGUUGGGUUAAGUCCCGCAACGAGCGCAACCCUUAUGGUCAGUUACUACGCAAGAGGACUCUGGCCAGACUGCCGUUGACAAAACGGAGGAAGGUGGGGAUGACGUCAAAUCAUCAUGCCCUUUAUGACUUGGGCUACACACGUACUACAAUGGCGUUAAACAAAGAGAAGCAAGACCGCGAGGUGGAGCAAAACUCAGAAACAACGUCCCAGUUCGGACUGCAGGCUGCAACUCGCCUGCACGAAGUCGGAAUUGCUAGUAAUCGUGGAUCAGCAUGCCACGGUGAAUACGUUCCCGGGCCUUGCACACACCGCCCGUCA